rnacentral:rRNA from 1 species
UACAGAGGUCCCAAGCGUUGUUCGGAUUCAUUGGGCGUAAAGAGCUUGUAGGCGGUCUGUCGCGUCUGCUGUGAAAAUCCGGGGCUCAACCCCGGACUUGCAGUGGGUACGGGCAGACUAGAGUGUGGUAGGGGAGACUGGAAUUCCUGGUGUAGCGGUGAAAUGCGCAGAUAGUCGGGAGGAACACCGGUGGCGAAGGCGGUCCUCUGGGCCUGUACUGACGCUGAGGAGCGAAAGCGUGGGGAGCGAACAGG